CAGCCACUGCUUGUGUUUCGCUGGCAGUGUGGUUAGCUGGUUGUGAAUUAAUAGAUACAACAACCACUAGCUCUACUGCCUGGGAAAUACAAAAUUAUGUC
rnacentral:pre_miRNA from 1 species